AGCGAACGCUGGCGGCAGGCCUAACACAUGCAAGUCGAACGGACCCUUCGGGGUUAGUGGCGGACGGGUGAGUAACACGUGGGAACGUGCCUUUAGGUUCGGAAUAGCUCCUGGAAACGGGUGGUAAUGCCGAAUGUGCCCCUCGGGGGAAAGAUUUAUCGCCUUUAGAGCGGCCCGCGUCUGAUUAGCUAGUUGGUGAGGUAAUGGCUCACCAAGGCGACGAUCAGUAGCUGGUCUGAGAGGAUGACCAGCCACAUUGGGACUGAGACACGGCCCAAACUCCUACGGGAGGCAGCAGUGGGAAAUCUUGCGCAAUGGGCGAAAGCCUGACGCAGCCAUGCCGCGUGAAUGAUGAAGGUCUUAGGAUUGUAAAAUUCUUUCACCGGGGACGAUAAUGACGGUACCCGGAGAAGAAGCCCCGGCUAACUUCGUGCCAGCCGCCGCUGUAAUAC
rnacentral:rRNA from 1 species